CUCUGGCAUGAGAUGCCAAGGAAAGCUCCAAUGCCACAGCACAGGCUGAGCUCUCGUGCAGAAUCUGUCCCCUGAGAGAAGGUGGAUGGAUGCUGACCUGCUUGCGUGACUUCUGCAGCAGCCUUGUUUUCCACAAGGUGACCAGUCCUAGCAUGGGAGAGAGAUGCAAAUGCAGCAGAAAAGCAGCAUGGGGAGAGGUACAGGAAGAGAGUGGAGGAGGAAGAGGAGGCUGUUGGUGCAUGAAGCCAUUUUUAAACAGCUAUCUGGAGUUGUUAUCUGAUAGCAGUGGCACUGAAUAUUGCAGAGGAAUCCCAGCACUUUCUCAAGAUCUCCAGAGAUCUUACCUUUCAUGAUCAGCUUGUACUCCCCAGCAGUUCCUCAUGCCUUGCUCAACACCAUAACAAUGACUGAGACAUCUCAAGAUCUGUGGGCCCCUGCAACAAUCUCAUAUGAAGGGUCCACAUAAUUUUGUUCCAGUCUUUCAUCAUCCAACGAAGGAAGUCCUCAGCGGAGCUGCUGUUUCAUACAUGGAUGGAUGGAUGUAUCACUUAUUUUAUUUGCCAUUCACGGUAAUUAUGGAAACAGUUAAAGUAGGCGAUCAUAACUGUCAUUUCUAGGAUUAAAAGCUAUGAACGAAGAAGUUUCCUAAUACUCAGUAAAGUUCAUAUUUGUGACUGUAUUGGGGAAUCACAGUAUUUUAGAUGCAAUAUGGGAAUAUAUAAAUAAAUAUUGGAUACCUAAUAAUUCAAGUAUUUCUUUUCUAAACCUCAAUGCUAAACUCUCAUGACUGUAGAGAUGGG
ensembl:lncRNA